CAGAGACAGCAGAGACAGGCAGAGACAGACAGAGACAGACAGAGACAGCAGAGACAGGCAGAGACAGACAGAGACAGACAGAGACAGCAGAGACAGCAGAGACAGGCAGAGACAGACAGAGACAGACAGAGACAGACAGAGACAGACAGAGACAGGCAGACACCUAAUACUGCAGGCAGAAAUGUAUUGAUAUCGGAAUCAAUAGAAGUCCAUAUUGUCAUCGGUAAAAACACUCCCCUGACUCCGAGUCCACAGCUUCCUGGCCACUUAAAUCAAACAGCGUCAUUACAUCAAGUCUCCUUGCGUUCCAGGCCGAUGACAUUUCAUUUCAUUUCACUGAACCCCCUCCAACCCCCUUCCCAUCACUGCGUCACGAGCGUACGGAUAACUGACUCAGAGCCCCCCGUUGGUUGGAUUUACCAGGGGAGAGGGCGGGGACCUGCUGCAGAUGACAGAUGCAGAAGCCAAUCAGGUUGGAUUUACCAGGGGAGAGGGCGGGGACCUGCUGCAGAUGACAGAUGCAGAAGCCAAUCAGGUUGGAUUUACCAGGGGAGAGGGCGGGGACCUGCUGCAGAUGACAGAUGCAGAAGCCAAUCAGGUUGGAUUUACCAGAGGAGAGGGCGGGGACCUGCUGCAGAUGACAGAUGCAGAAGCCAAUCAGGUUGGAUUUACCAGAGGAGAGGGCGGGGACCUGCUGCAGAUGACAGAUGCAGAAGCCAAUCAGGUUGGAUUUACCAGGGGAGAGGGCGGGGACCUGCUGCAGAUGACAGAUGCCAAUCAGGUUGGAAUCAAUAGCAAAAAGAAACGACGUAGACCAACAGACCCUUGGCCGAUGCAACAGGGCGGCCAACUGCUCAGACGCCCGGACUACAACGUCUCCUGGAGUUGUGACGUAGGAAGAUGACCACUGCAGGAGAGACAGUCACGUGGAGGUUGGUGGAAGAUGAGCAGUCCUUCUGCUGUAUGACAGCUUCCUACAACACCCCGCGGUUUCCCAUCCCACGACCCCCCUCCUCAACAAGCCACGGGAGAAAAACACCGUCGCUGUCUUUUACCUCGGAGACGAGGAACGGAUGGAAUACACCAUGGAUACGAUGAGGAAACCUGACUCACUGGAGGACAGGGCUCUGACAUGCCUUUCCAUUAGGGACAACAUCACCUGACAGGAUAUAGAAUACACCUGGACAACAUCACCUGACAGGAUAUAGAAUACACCUGGACAACAUCACCUGACAGGAUAUAGAAUACACCUGGACAACAUCACCUGACAGGAUAUAGAAUACACCUGGACAACAUCACCUGACAGGAUAUAGAAUACACCUGGACAACAUCACUGACAGGAUAUAGAAUACACCACCUGGACAACAUCACCUGACAGGAUAUAGAAUACACCACCUGGACAACAUCACUGACAGGAUAUAGAAUACACCACCUGGACAACAUCACUGACAGGAUAUAGAAUACACCACCUGGACAACAUCACUGACAGGAUAUAGAAUACACCACCUGGACAACAUCACUGACAGGAUAUAGAAUACACCACCUGGACAACAUCACCUGACAGGAUAUAGAAUACACCUGGACAACAUUACUGACAGGAUAUAGAAUACACCUGGACAACAUCACUGACAGGAUAUAGAAUACACCUGGACAACAUCACUGACAGGAUAUAGAAUACACCACCUGGACAACAUCACUGACAGGAUAUAGAAUACACCUGGACAACAUCACUGACAGGAUAUAGAAUACACCUGGACAACAUCACUGACAGGAUAUAGAAUACACUUGGACAACAUCACUGACAGGAUAUAGAAUACACCUGGACAACAUCACUGACAGGAUAUAGAAUACACCACCUGGACAACAUCACUGACAGGAUAUAGAAUACACCUGGACAACAUCACCUGACAGGAUAUAGAAUACACCUGGACAACAUCACCUGACAGGAUAUAGAAUACACCUGGACAAUGUGUCUGACACAGAUUAAACCAUGUGGACAACAUUACUGACAUAGAUUCAAACCAGGUGGACAUCAAUCUGUCUGGUAUGGGGAGGAGACAGCAGCAUUACUCUGAUGACCUGCAGAGAGGAGAGGAGACAAACAGACAGAGGUACAGAAGACGUUACUUGAAUCACCUUCCACAACACAUGAAUAAUGACAUUUGUAAACCCAGUGAUCGUGGAACAACCCCGGGACAACACACUCCUUCUAAGGCUGAGAUACAGGUGUGUGACAAUGUAUGACAGAUAAUGACGACAAUAGGAGGGGGGGUGGGGGUUCUCUCUGUAUGUAGACAUUGAAUAAUGUAAUGUAUAGAUAUGACAUCAAUAAGACGAGGUUCUGUAUGUUCUGUAUAGAUAUGACAUCAAUAAGACGAGGUUCUGUAUGUUCUGUAUAGAUAUGACAUCAAUAAGACGAGGUUCUGUAUGUUCUGUAUAGGUAUGACAUCAAUAAGACGAGGUUCUGUAUGUUCUGUAUAGAUAUGACAUCAAUAAGACGAGGUUCUGUAUGUUCUGUAUAGAUAUGACAUCAAUAAGACGAGGUUCUGUAUGUUCUGUAUAGAUAUGACAUCAAUAAGACGAGGUUCUGUAUGUUCUGUAUAGAUAUGACAUCAAUAAGACGAGGUUCUGUAUGUUCUGUAUAGAUAUGACAUCAAUAAGACGAGGUUCUGUAUGUUCUGUAUAGAUAUGACAUCAAUAAGACGAGGUUCUGUAUGUAGACAUCGAAUCAUAUCAUGUUCUGUACUAAAACAUAUUCUUGAAAACAUGUACAGCUGGUAAAGCAGAAUUAAAGACAGACCGUAGUUUUAAGUCUGUGUCAACAAACUGUUCUAAAAAUA